rnacentral:rRNA from 1 species
AGAAAAAGCACCGGCUAACUACGUGCCAGCAGCCGCGGUAAUACGUAGGGUGCAAGCGUUGUCCGGAAUUAUUGGGCGUAAAGAGCUCGUAGGCGGUGUGUCACGUCUGCUGUGAAAAUCCAAGGCUCAACCUUGGACUUGCAGUGGGUACGGGCACACUCGAGUGCGGUAGGGGAGAUUGGAAUUCCUGGUGUAGCGGUGGAAUGCGCAGAUAUCAGGAGGAACACCGAUGGCGAAGGCAGAUCUCUGGGCCGUAACUGACGCUGAGGAGCGAAAGCGUGGGGAGCGAACAGGAUUAGAUACCCUGGUAGUCCACGCCGUAAACGGUGGGAACUAGAUGUGGGGUCCGUUCCACGGAUUCCGUGUCGCAGCUAACGCAUUAAGUUCCCCGCCUGGGGAGUACGGCCGCAAGGCUAAAACUCAAAGGAAUUGACGGGGGCCCGCACAAGCGGCGGAGCAUGCGGAUUAAUUCGAUGCAACGCGAAGAACCUUACCAAGGCUUGACAUAUAGAGGAAAAGUGCAGAGAUGCACUCCCCGCAAGGUCUCUAUACAGGUGGUGCAUGGUUGUCGUCAGCUCGUGUCGUGAGAUGUUGGGUUAAGUCCCGCAACGAGCGCAACCCUCGUCCUAUGUUGCCAGCACGUAAUGGUGGGAACUCAUGGGAUACUGCCGGGGUCAACUCGGAGGAAGGUGGGGAUGACGUCAAAUCAUCAUGCCCCUUAUGUCUUGGGCUUCACGCAUGCUACAAUGGCCGGUACAGAGGGCAGCAAUACCGCAAGGUGGAGCGAAUCCCAGAAAGCCGGUCUCAGUU